GUGGUUACCCGUCGCUGUAAAUGGACAGAUAAUUAUCCAAACAAAAAAAAUGCAGGAAAUAUUCUGGAUCCCCGAGCAGUCUUCUCAACUGGUACGAGGAAAAGUCAAGAAAAGCCCCUUUGAGAAGGUCUCCCUGGAAGACAGGCCCAUGAAGAGCUGAAGAAAGAAGUGGGAGGACAGAGGAGAACUCACACAAGGGGAUCAAGCUGGUGAAAACUGGAGAACCAGGCAGGUUUGUGUCUGCCAGUUCCCUGCUUACUGGGCAGAGCAAGAUGAAGCUGCUCCUCUUCCUAGGAAGCAGUCCUUUGUUCCCCUGGACCUGUGACUGAUCCACAGCAGGCAUGUGAUCUAAGCCUGAUAGAUCAGGUCCCUCGCUGGGCUUGCUGCAGCUGGAGAAGAAGCAGCUCCAUGCUGCUUUGGGGGGGGCAUGGUGCUGGAAGGAGUUGUAGUGGAUGGUAUAGGUGCUCCACUCAUAUCCCAUUGGUUCACCCUUGAGGUCAUCUUCAGACAGUCCCUGCACACAAACUGAGCUCCUAUGUCUCUCUGCAUAAAGCUGCUUCUCUGGCCUGGGGAGCAAGCUAGGGAGAGUUACCACUCCCAGAGCAACUCUUAAACAAUGAAGGAGAGGAGCUGGCAGAUAAACACCUCAGCUUCCUUGUUCUUCAGGGGCUCAAUUCUGAGUGGUGCUCCACACAUUCUUUUUGAGGCAUCCCAGUAGGAUUGAGAUCUACUUGCUCCAGCUGUAACCCACUCACCGAGACACCCGUUUGGGGUUUCCGCCCCUUCUUUGUCUCACUUACCUGCUCUCUCAUUUUGCUUCUGGUGUCAUCUUCCAAAUAAAGUGGUACACCCAAACUUUUGCCUUGGAGUUUGCUUUGAGGGGAGCCCAAACUAAGAUAGAGGAAAAGUUGGGGUUCCCAGGCAACUAUUUUCUCUACCACAUGGAGUAGGUCUGUUUGAAGAAGGUGAGAGAGAAGCUAGCAAAAAUAAGGGGGGUGGAGAGCGAGCUUGGUGGUGCCGAAUGGUUUCACCCCCAAGACUCCUUUUGUUCCCUCUCAUUCUUUGAUUCUCGAAGCUGCCCUGAACUCUUCCCAGCCAUGUGAACCAAUACAUUCCUCCCUGUAUGUGUUAAGCUUGCUUGAAUUGGAUUUCUGUCUCUUGCAACUGAAAGUAUUAAUGACUCUUACAAAGAAUAAGUGAGUUCGCAUGCAAAGCAUUUUGAAUAGAGCCUGUCACAGAUUAAAUACUAUUACUGGUGCAUAUUAUUAUUAUUUAAUGUCUGACUCGCUUCCAGUGGAGACCAUGGAUCAAGAAGCUAGAGCCUAGAAAAGAAUCACAAAAAAGUCAGUUUAAUUCUACCUAAU
rnacentral:lncRNA from 1 species